AUCUAAACUCGCCGCUCUUCAGUGAAAUUCGCUGAGCUUCUUCUUUCUCUCUCCUUUAUUAUUGCUCUUCUUUCUUUUUCUUUUCUCUUUUGUUUCCUUUCUUCUUCUCGUUCAUUCUAGUAACAGAGAGAGUGAGAUGAGAAGGGAACCGAGAGGGAGGGAGAUCUGAAAGCCGAGAAAGAGAAUCACCCGAUUCUCCUUUCCUCUACCUCUCUUCUUCUUUCUUGCUCUUUCCUUUCCCUUUUUCCGCCCGAGUCUCAGAGAAAGAGACGAUCGUGGGAGAAGGAGAAAUCGAGAUGAGAGAGUGGGAGAAUACCGAGAGUUCGGGAGGGAGAGAAAUCGGGAGACCCAAAUGUGAGGAACCGAGACAGGGAGAGACCGAGAGAUUCUGAUUGAAGGGAGAGGAAGACCGGAGGCCGAUCUUCCACAGGGAGUCGCUGGCGAAGCUGAGGGUGCGAUUUCCGGCGAUCCAUCCCGUGACCCGCUCGACACCUUUUUCCGGUGGAUUUACGGUGAAAAUCCCCAAAAUAGAUGAUGAACUGAGAGCUGCACUAAAGGGCUGAUAGUGUCCAGAUUGGAGACUUCAAGGGGUUCUCCAAUGUUGAGUUCGAGUCAAGAGUCCAAUGCAGUCAAGAUGAUGUUUCUUUGGCUGCAGGUACUACGGUAUAGUCGAUGGGUCGGUAGCAGUGUGCUUGGGAUAUUAUGACUGAAGCUCACCGCGACGGUUGUAAUUGUCGGACCAUGGGUUGUCCACUAUUUUAUAGGAUUGGUAUACUUUGUGAUGUUUGUGUCACAUAUUCUUUGUAAAGCAAUAGUAGUUUUGUAAAUAAUGUGUUAAUAAGACUCAUACAGAUAGAUGUUAAAUGGCUCUUUGUUGUAAUUAAUUUGUGAUAGAUGUAUAAGUUGUAAUUUCUGCUAUUCAGAUUUAUGUUUUCCGCUGCAUAGAUAGAUAUAUGUCAUACUUUGAUUAUC